GAGCGGCAGGGCGGCGAGCGGGCUCCUGCGGCGUUUGCGGCGCGGCCUGCGCCGUUCGGCCCGGCGGCCGGCUCC
rnacentral:tRNA from 1 species